rnacentral:rRNA from 1 species
GACGAACGCUGGCGGCGUGCUUAACACAUGCAAGUCGAACGGAAAGGCCCCGUUUUUGUGGGGUGCUGGAGCGGAGAAGGGGUGAGUAACACGUUAGCAUACCCUUCUUGAUUUUAGGAUAUCUUCAGGAAACUGCGGAUACCACAGGAUAGGUGCUUCUGCAGGAUGGUGGGGGUAGGAAAGCUUCGGCGGUUGGGGAUGGACUCGCGGCUUAUCAGCUUGUUGGUGGGGUAGUGGCUUACCAAGGCUUUGACGGGUAGCCGGCCUGAGAGGGUGACCGGCCACAUUGGGACUGAGAUACGGCCCAGACUCCUACGGGAGGCAGCAGUGGGGAAUAUUGCACAAUGGGCGGAAGCCUGAUGCAGCAACGCCGCGUGCGGGAUGACGGCCUUCGGGUUGUAAACCGCUUUCGCCUGUGACGAAGCGUGAGUGACGGUAAUGGGUAAAGAAGCACCGGCUAACUACGUG